CUAACUCUGCAGUAACAUGACUCACAUCAUGCUCCCUUUGCCUUUCUGCAAAAUAGCAUUUUCUACUUGUACUUUGUACUUUUUUCCAGAGCAGAAGGCACAGGAAACUGCUCUCAGAGGACUGAAGAUUGUACUCAGCCAUCAGACAUGUUCGAGCCCUUCAUCAGUCAGGAAAGUAGUUCGAGAUGAGAGGGGAAAUGAUGGAACAUGAAACAUAAUGGCAAAGACAAAUGACUCUCAGGUAAGAAGGUGAUUGUGUGCAUCAACUGUUACUCUUCACUGUUGGAAUAACAUGCAUGCUAUUAAUCUUUGUCCUUGUAUUUGCAUUUGAUUUAGAAAAAUGAAAUGUGUGAAUAUUGCUCCAAAUCUGGCUAAAAGAAUAAAAAGGAUAAAAUGUCGCGUUUAUGGACAAGACAAGUGCGUCGAUGAAACCGACGAUUUGUGGGCAGUACUUUGAGAGAUCGUGUUUCGAACAAACUAUGCUCGCCAAGGAAAUGAGAUUCAAAAAGAAUUUAAAACUGAACAGCAGAUGCUGUGCCUACAAUACGGCUGGGACCCCAGUCAGCACAAGCCAGCACGCCGACUCAAACACGUCCGCCGGUGCAGAGUCCUCCACCAAAGAGACGAAAUGCAUUCGCCUAAAGGGAGAGAGCGAAGAGGUAUUGAAACAUUGGUGAAUGAAGCCACUGACAGAACUGAGGAUACCUGUAUGAUCAGCGACCAUCUAUUGGACAUCCACACUGGGGAGGAAGCUGUGUGUACACCAGUAAGUAUACAGACUGUACGUCAUCUGUACAUUACAGUUGUAGUACCAGUAGACACAU
rnacentral:lncRNA from 1 species